GGAGUAAGGGCUGAAGAAGACUACUUCGUUGAUAGGCCGGCGGUGUAAGCACAGCGAUGUGUUCAGCCUACCGGUACUAAUAGCCCGAGGGCUUGACCUA
rnacentral:rRNA from 1 species